UGCACCUUGCUGGCUGGAAGUGUGGCAGUGUAACGCGAGCCUUAGUCUGGAUAGGACGGCAAUAUCAACAAUAAAAACAACAACAACAUAACGAUUUAGAUGCAUACAAGAACAAAAACAGCUACAAUAAAAACAACUUCAACUACAGCGACAACUUUGCAAACUCGCAUGCUAAAUAAAAAAUUAACCAAAAAGGCAACUCAAAAUUUGAAACUAAAUUCAGCUAAACAAAAAUAAAUAGUGAACUUUACACUUGUAAAAAUUAAAAACACAGCAACUUAAUACAUAAUAAUAAUACCAAUAAUAAACACGAUUGUGAUUCAUAAUAACUGAAAAGUAAAUAACUAAAAAAAAAAACAAAGAUCAUUAAAACAUAAAGCAACAAGGGAUAAAGCACAACAUAAAUCAAUUAAAGGAAACAAUAAUUUUUUGAAAAAUUCGACACCAAGUCUACACUGCAGGGCGUAAAUAAAUUACAGCAU